rnacentral:rRNA from 1 species
AUUGAACGCUGGCGGCAGGCCUAACACAUGCAAGUCGAACGAGUGGCGGACGGGUGAGUAAUGUUUGGGAAACUGCCUGAUGGAGGGGGAUAACUACUGGAACCGGUAGCUAAUACCGCAUACCAUCCGAUGUACCCAGAUGGGAUUAGCGAGUUGGUGGGGUAACGGCUCACCAAGGCGACGACCCCUAGCUGGUCUGAGAGGAUGACCAGCCACACUGGAACUGAGACACGGUCCAGAGUCCUACGGAAGGCAGCAGUGGGGAAUAUUGCACAAUGGGGGCAAGCCUGAUGCAGCCAUGCCGCGUGUAUGAAGAAGGCCUUCGAGUUGUAAAGUACUUUCAGCGGGGAGGCGUUACCCGCAGAAGAAGCACCGGCUAACUCCGUGCCAGCAGCCGCGGUAAUUC